UAAACACUUACAUCAACAACC
rnacentral:misc_RNA from 1 species